CAGAGGGGCAAGCGUUGUUCGGAAUUACUGGGCGUAAAGGGCGCGUAGGCGGCCUGCUAAGUCGAACGUGAAAUCCCUGGGCUCAACCCAGGAACUGCGUCCGAUACUGGUUGGCUUGAAUCCGGGAGAGGGAUGUGGAAUUCCAGGUGUAGCGGUGAAAUGCGUAGAUAUCUGGAGGAACACCGGUGGCGAAGGCGACAUCCUGGACCGGCAUUGACGCUGAGGCGCGAAAGCCAGGGGAGCAAACGGGAUUAGAUACCCCGGUAGUCCUGGCCCUAAACGAUGAAUGCUUGGUGUGGUGGGUAUCGAUCCCUACCGUGCCGAAGCUAACGCAUUAAGCAUUCCGCCUGGGGAGUACGGUCGCAAGGCUG
rnacentral:rRNA from 1 species